rnacentral:rRNA from 1 species
GCAUAUCAAUAAGCGGAGGAAAAGAAACCAACANGGAUUGCCCCAGUAGCGGCGAGUGAAGCGGCAAGAGCUCAGAUUUGAAAUCGUGUUUCGGCACGAGUUGUAGAGUGUAGGCGGGAGUCUCUGUGGAGCGCGGUGUCCAAGUCCCUUGGAACAGGGUGCUUGAGAGGGUGAGAGCCCCGUAGGGUGCUGCGCGAAGCUUUUGAGGCCCUGCUGACGAGUCGAGUUGUUUGGGAAUGCAGCUCCAAGCGGGUGGUAAAUUCCAUCUAAGGCUAAAUAUUGGCGAGAGACCGAUAGCGAACAAGUACUGUGAAGGAAAGAUGAAAAGCACUUUGAAAAGAGAGUGAAACAGCACGUGAAAUUGUUGAAAGGGAAGGGUAUUGGGCUCGACAUGGGGGGUGCGCACCGCUGUCUCUUGUAGGCGGCGCUCUGGGCGCCCUCUGGGCCAGCAUCGGUUCCUGCUGCGGGAGAAGGGGCUCCGGAAAGUGGCUCUUCGGAGUGUUAUAGCCGGGGCCAGAUGCCGCGUGUGGGGACCGAGAACUGCGGCUUCUGUCUCGGAUGCUGGCAUAACGGCGCAAUACCGCCCGUCUU